UACAGAGGCCUCGAGCGUUAGGCGGAAUCACUGGGCUUAAAGCGUGUGUAGGCGGACUUCUAAGUGCCUUGUGAAAUCCCACGGCUCACCCGUGGAACGGCUGGGCAUACUGGUCGUCUUGAGCCACCUAGGGGCUGCCGGAACAAAUGGUGGAGCGGUGAAAUGCGUAGAUAUCGGGAGGAACACCUGUGGCGAAAGCGGCUCACUGGACCAUUACUGACGCUGAUGCUCGAAAGCUAGGGGAGCAAACAGG
rnacentral:rRNA from 1 species